CGCGUAGGCGGUCUUUUAAGUUCCGUGUGAAAUCCCUCGGCUCAACUGGGGAACUGCACGGGAAACUGGGAGGCUUGAGUUCGGGAGAGGGAAGCGGAAUUCCGGGUGUAGCGGUGAAAUGCGUAGAUAUCCGGAGGAACACCGGUGGCGAAGGCGGCUUCCUGGACCGACACUGACGCUGAGGCGCGAAAGCUAGGGGAGCAAACGGGAUUAGAUACCCCGGUAGUCCUAGCUGUAAACGAUGAGUGCUGGGUGUAGGGGGUAUUCACCCCCCCUGUGCCGAAGCUAACGCAUUAAGCACUCCGCCUGGGGAGUACGGUCGCAAGGCUGAA
rnacentral:rRNA from 1 species